GGACUGGCACGACUCCGACGCAGUGCGGCCCCAGAAUUUCUCCGGCACAGAUGAGCAAAAGAAGUUGGUGAUUGGUGGAGAGGUCGCCAUGUAGGGUGAAUAUGCGGACGCCACCAAUCUGACCCCACGCCUGUGGCCGAGAGCCUGUGCUGCAGCGGAGAGGUUGUGGAGCAAUGAAGAAAAAACCCUGAACGCUGAUCUGGCCUUCCCACGUCUGCAGGAGUUUCACUGUGAACU